rnacentral:rRNA from 1 species
GCCAGGAGCUAUAUCAGCCUGAAACUCACAACUGGAAACCCACAGAAGCUAAGCAGGUAUGAACCUGGCCAGUCCCUAAAUGGGAGACCUCCUGGGAAAGCUUAGUUUGCUGCUGGAA